AGUGAACGCUGGCGGUAGGCCUAACACAUGCAAGUCGAACGGCAGCACAGUAAGAGCUUGCUCUUACGGGUGGCGAGUGGCGGACGGGUGAGGAAUACAUCGGAAUCUACUUUUUCGUGGGGGAUAACGUAGGGAAACUUACGCUAAUACCGCAUACGACCUACGGGUGAAAGCAGGGGAUCUUCGGACCUUGCGCGAUUGAAUGAGCCGAUGUCGGAUUAGCUAGUCGGCGGGGUAAAGGCCCACCAAGGCGACGAUCCGUAGCUGGUCUGAGAGGAUGAUCAGCCACACUGGAACUGAGACACGGUCCAGACUCCUACGGGAGGCAGCAGUAGGGAAUAUUGGACAAUGGGCGCAAGCCUGAUCCAGCCAUACCGCGUGGGUGAAGAAGGCCCUCGGGUUGUAAAGCCCUUUUGUUGGGAAAGAAAAGCAGCAGGUUAAUACCCCGCUGUUCUGACGGUACCCAAAGAAUAAGCACCGGCUAACUUCGUG
rnacentral:rRNA from 1 species